rnacentral:rRNA from 1 species
GACGAACGCUGGCGGCGUGCUUAACACAUGCAAGUCGAACGGAAAGGCCCUGCUUUUGUGGGGUGCUCGAGUGGCGAACGGGUGAGUAACACGUGAGUAACCUGCCCUUGACUUUGGGAUAACUUCAGGAAACUGGGGCUAAUACCUGAUAGGAGCUCCUGCUGCAUGGUGGGGGUUGGAAAGUUUCGGCGGUUGGGGCUGGACUCGCGGCUUAUCAGCUUGUUGGUGGGGUAGUGGCUUACCAAGGCUUUGACGGGUAGCCGGCAUGAGAGGGUGACCGGCGACAUUGGGACUGAGAUACGGCCCAGACUCCUACGGGAGGCAGCAGUGGGGAAUAUUGCACAAUGGGCGGAAGCCUGAUGCAGCAACGCCGCGUGCGGGAUGACGGCUUUCGGGUUGUAAACCGCUUUCGCCUGUGACGAAGCGUGAGUGACGGUAAUGGGUAAAGAAGCACCGGCUAACUACGUG